rnacentral:rRNA from 1 species
AUUGAACGCUGGCGGCAGGCCUAACACAUGCAAGUCGAGCGGAUGAAGGGAGCUUGCUCCUGGAUUCAGCGGCGGACGGGUGAGUAAUGCCUAGGAAUCUGCCUGGUAGUGGGGGAUAACGUCCGGAAACGGGCGCUAAUACCGCAUACGUCCUGAGGGAGAAAGUGGGGGAUCUUCGGACCUCACGCUAUCAGAUGAGCCUAGGUCGGAUUAGCUAGUUGGUGGGGUAAAGGCCUACCAAGGCGACGAUCCGUAACUGGUCUGAGAGGAUGAUCAGUCACACUGGAAGUGAGACACGGUCCAGACUCCUAAGGGAGGGAGCAGUGGGGAAUAUUGGACAAUGGGCGAAAGCAUGAUCCAGCCAAGCCGCGUGUGUGAAGAAGGUCUUCGGAUUGUAAAGCACUUUAAGUUGGGAGGAAGGGCAGUAAGUUAAUACCUUGCUGUUUUGACGUUACCAACAGAAUAAGCACCGGCUAACUUCGUG